UACGUAGGGUGCGAGCGUUAAUCGGAAUUACUGGGCGUAAAGCGUGCGCAGGCGGUUCGUCGUGUCUGAUGUGAAAGCCCCGGGCUCAACCUGGGAAUGGCAUUGGAAACUGGCGGACUAGAGUGUGGCAGAGGGGGGUGGAAUUCCGCGUGUAGCAGUGAAAUGCGUAGAGAUGCGGAGGAACACCAGUGGCGAAGGCGGCAACCUGGGCCAAUAUUGACGCUGAGGUGCGAAAGCGUGGGGAGCAAACAGG
rnacentral:rRNA from 1 species